GACUUUAUAAAACCAAUUCUAGUUUUUUGCUCACUUAAAGCACUCUUGGCAUUUAUCAAGAUACUGAUACCUAAUUGACCAUCAUUUGAGAUACUUUGUUCUGUGUACUUAUAGAGUGAUUGAUUGGGCCAACUAAAGCUCGAUUAGCGGAGAACGAAACGCGCCUGGAUUCCAAACAGUCGAAUUCUUGGAAGAAGUCAGUUAGUGAGCAGCUAAUCGUGGCACGUUUUGAGUUUCGCAAACGCGUGCUAUGUAUGAUCUGCGUGUCGCCACAAAAUCUUCAGUAUCAACAAUUUUUUUUUGCAUUUUUCUUUGUUGUUUAUUGUCAAAAUGCAGAAUGUUGCGUAAGAAGCCUCUCGAGUUCCUUCUGGCCCGCAUUUUUUUCGGCUUAAAUGGGCACGUGUAAACGUCACACUUUGUUUUUUACCAUGGUUUUACGUAAUGGUAUUAUUGAACCGAAUUCGCUUAAGAGCUCGUGAAACCUGAAGAGGCGUUUUCAGUUGGGGAUAACCGUAUUAUGACGAAUUUUCAAGCACUUACCUGCGAAUUUCCUUGGCACAAAAGGGCAUUUAUUUGGGCGUUAAAUCAUUUAAAUUUUAAAUAGAAGCGCACUUAGCCGUUGAUUUAAAAUUACGUGUUUUAAUUACUUGGCAAUUGAUAAUUGUCUUAAUUGUAUUACGAAAGCUAUUGUAUAAUAGCAAUUAAAAUGGAAUAACCACUAUGACUGUUGCGAUAAGUCUAAUUUUUAUUACAUCAGCUUGUUCUGUAAUAGAAUAUUAAUGCAAAUUGACAGUGUUCAUAGUAGUUAAGUGAAAGUUAAAAAUAAAAUAUAAAUAUUUCCAUGACAUGAUUAUUUAAUGAAUACUUUCGAAGAAUUUUGAUUAUAAAAUUUGAUCUACGCAAAACAAAGACAUCUAAGCCAAUAAUAAUGCUACAA